GACGAACGCUGGCGGCGUGCCUAAUACAUGCAGGUUGAGCGCUGAAGGUUGGUACUUGUACCAACUGGAUGAGCAGCGAACGGGUGAGUAGCGCGUGGGGAAUCUGCCUUUGAGCGGGGGACAACAUUUGGAAACGAAUGCUAAUACCGCAUAAAAACUUUAAACACAAGUUUUAAGUUUGAAAGAUGCAAUUGCAUCACUCAAAAAUGAUCCCGCGUUGUAUUAGCUAGUUGGUGAGGUAAAGGCUCACCAAGGCGAUGAUACAUAGCCGACCUGAGAGGGUGAUCGGCCACAUUGGGACUGAGACACGGCCCAAACUCCUACGGGAGGCAGCAGUAGGGAAUCUUCGGCAAUGGACGAAAGUCUGACCGAGCAACGCCGCGUGAGUGAAGAAGGUUUUCGGAUCGUAAAACUCUGUUGGUAGAGAAGAACGUUGGUGAGAGUGGAAAGCUCAUCAAGUGACGGUAACUACCCAGAAAGGGACGGCUAACUACGUG
rnacentral:rRNA from 1 species